rnacentral:rRNA from 1 species
GACGAACGCUGGCGGCGUGCUUAACACAUGCAAGUCGAGCGGUAAGGCCUCUUCGGGGGUACACGAGCGGCGAACGGGUGAGUAACACGUGGGUGACCUGCCCUCAGCUCUGGGAUAAGCCUGGGAAACUGGGUCUAAUACCGGAUAUGACCUCUCAUCGCAUGGUGGGUGGUGGAAAGUUUUUUCGGCUGGGGAUGGGCCCGCGGCCUAUCAGCUUGUUGGUGGGGUGAUGGCCUACCAAGGCGACGACGGGUAGCCGGCCUGGGAGGGCGACCGGCCACACUGGGACUGAGGUACGGCCGAGGCUCCUACGGGAGGCAGCAGUGGGGAAUAGUGCGCAAUGGGCGGAAGCCUGACGCAGCGACGCCGCGUGGGGGAUGACGGCCUUCGGGUUGUAAACCUCUUUCGACCGGGACGAAGGGUGACUGUCGGUACCGGUAGAAGAAGCACCGGCCAACUACGUGCCAGCCGCCGCCGUAACAC